CUGGAUAAUGCAGCUUCUCCCACUGCAGACUAUCCCUCAUUACACAGACUGGAUAAUGCAGCUUCUCCCACUGCAGACUAUCCCUCAUUACACAGAUAAUGCAGCUUCCCCCACUGCAGACUAUCCCUCAUUACACAGACUGGAUCCUGCAGCUUCCCCCACUGCAGACUAUCCCGCAUUACACAGACUGAAUCCCCCACUGCAGACUAUCCCUCAUUACACAGACUGAAUCCCCCACUGCAGACUAUCCUUCAUUACACAGACUAUCCCUCAUUACACAGACUGGAUCAUGCAGCUUCCCCCACUGCAGAC